UACAGAGGUCUCAAGCGUUGUUCGGAUUCAUUGGGCGUAAAGGGCGCGUAGGCGGCCACGCACGUCCGUUGUGAAAUCGCCCGGCUCAACUGGGCGGGGUCAGCGGAUACGGUGUGGCUCGAGCAAGCUAGGGGGCAAUGGAAUUCCCGGUGUAGUGGUGGAAUGCGUAGAUAUCGGGAGGAACACCAGUGGCGAAGGCGGUUGCCUGGAGCUUUGCUGACGCUGAGGCGCGAAAGCGUGGGGAGCGAUCCGG
rnacentral:rRNA from 1 species